rnacentral:rRNA from 1 species
UUUUGAGAGUUUGAUCCUGGCUCAGGAUGAACGCUGGCGGCAUGCCUAAUACAUGCAAGUCGUACGGGAAAGCUUGCUUUCCAGUGGCGAACGGGUGAGUAACACGUAGAUAACUUAUCCUUAAGCCGGGGAUAACAGUUGGAAACGACUGCUAAUACCGGAUAGGAUAUGCGACCGCAUGGAUGCAUAUUUAAAGGCGCGCAUGCGCCGCUUAGGGAGAGGUUUACGUCGCAUUAGCUAGUUGGUGGGGUAAAGGCCUACCAAGGCGACGAUGCGUAGCCGACCUGAGAGGGUGACCGGCCACACUGGGACUGAGAGACGGCCCAGACUCCUACGGGAGGCAGCAGUGAGGGAUAUUGGUCAAUGGGGGAAACCCUGAACCAGCGACGCCGCGUGGGUGAAGAAGGUCUUCGGAUC